CGGUGGUGGAUGGGGAGUAGAAAAGUGGGGGCUGGUUUGGAAGAUGUUAAGGAGGCGGCGAGAGGUGUUUGCGAUCUCGAGUAAAUCGGCCUGACACCUUUUUUUUUUUUUUUUUUUUUGUCUAAUGCGGGUGGAUCAGACCUGUCGGGACUGGAUACACCCAAUAAGAUCAAAAAAAUAGGAUACCUCGAAGUGCCAAGGGCAACUCCCCAUCGCCAAUCCACAAGGUGCCUCCGGAGUGACAAGCUACAUAUGCAGCUACCCAAUCCGCAGCAUCAUUACCUUCACGGUAAAUAUGCUUGGCCUGAAAGGCCCAUCCAUCCCUAUUUGUAGUAGCAAUCUAUGUACCAAUAUAAUCUCCCCUGACAACCAUCCUUCCUAAUAUCUAUGAAAGCCACAUCAAACAAGGAUAAAGGGAUUGUGAAUCAAAUGAAUAUGGGUGAACGCGAGAUUUGAGUGGAUUACCUGGAGGUCGAUCAAUCCGAAAACACCUGAGGUCUUCUUCUAUGAGGAAUUCCCCGGGAGAAGGCAGACUAUUAGCACGACAAAAGAGGCAGACCAGUAUCUCUUGAUCAGUAGGCUUGAAGUGAAAGCCGAGGUGAAGGCGGCUCUCCAUCUUUGCCUUCUUUUCUGCAAAUUCUGGAGCUCUUGAUGGACAGAAGGCGAGGAGGAGGAAGGUAAGGCUUUGAUGCGAUACCAGUGGGAAAGAGAGAAGAGAGAGAGAGAGAGAACAAAGAAUCUUUCUCUAAGUAAGUAAGAGAAGGAGAGAGAUGAUCUACGGGUGGGGUCUGGGUCAGGGAACCGCGAGCAGUGGCCGAUCCCAACAGGCAGCCUGCGGCAAAAAUCACCCACAAAAGCCACUGAGGUGGUAGCACGGUGGAAACGGAGCUUUAAUUUCACCGCAGUGGCCCAGGUUCGAAACGCACGGACGUCGAUUUAAUGUGAAGACCGGAUGCUCCCCGUCUGGCUCAUCCGAUGGAGUCGCUAUCUGGUCUGCCGGUAUCGAGAUGGCAUUGGGGUGACGUACUCACACAUAGGUGUUGAGCCUAUGAGUCGGGGAGAGUACGCGGAAACU
rnacentral:lncRNA from 1 species